GGUCAUAGNNUGUUACUGGAUAUCUUGAGUGCAGUUGAGGCAGGCGGAAUUCGUGGUGUAGCGGUGAAAUGCUUAGAUAUCACGAAGAACUCCGAUUGCGAAGGCAGCCUGCUAAGCUGCAACUGACAUUGAGGCUCGAAAGUGUGGGUAUCAAACAGGAUUAGAUACCCUGGUAGUCCACACGGUAAACGAUGAAUACUCGCUGUUUGCGAUAUACAGUAAGCGGCCAAGCGAAAGCAUUAAGUAUUCCACCUGGGGAGU
rnacentral:rRNA from 1 species